UGGGGAAUAUUGCACAAUGGGCGCAAGCCUGAUGCAGCCAUGCCGCGUGUAUGAAGAAGGCCUUCGGGUUGUAAAGUACUUUCAGCGAGGAGGAAGGCGUUGUGGUUAAUAACCGCAACGAUUGACGUUACUCGCAGAAGAAGCACCGGCUAACUCCGUGCCAGCAGCCGCGGUAAUACGGAGGGUGCAAGCGUUAACCGGAAUUACUGGGCGUAAAGCGCACGCAGGCGGUCUGUCAAGUCGGAUGUGAAAUCCCCGGGCUCAACCUGGGAACUGCAUCCGAAACUGGCAGGCUAGAGUCUUGUAGAGGGGGGUAGAAUUCCAGGUGUAGCGGUGAAAUGCGUAGAGAUCUGGAGGGAUACCGGUGGCGAAGGCGGCCCCCUGGACAAAGACUGACGCUCAGGUGCGAAAGCGUGGGGAGCAAACA
rnacentral:rRNA from 1 species